rnacentral:rRNA from 1 species
GGGAGUACGGUCGCAAGACUAAACUCAAAGGAAUUGACGGGGACCCGCACAAGCAGUGGAGUAUGUGGUUUAAUUCGAAGCAACGCGAAGAACCUUACCAGGUCUUGACAUCUGAUGACCGGGCAGAGAUGUGUCUUUCCUUCGGGACAUUCAAGACAGGUGGUGCAUGGUUGUCGUCAGCUCGUGUCGUGAGAUGUUGGGUUAAGUCCCGCAACGAGCGCAACCCUUAACUUUAGUUGCCAGCAGGUAAGGCUGGGCACUCUAGAGUGACUGCCGGUGACAAACCGGAGGAAGGUGGGGAUGACGUCAAAUCAUCAUGCCCCUUAUGACCUGGGCUACACACGUACUACAAUGGCCGGUACAACGGGAAGCGAAGGAGCGAUCUGGAGCGAAUCCUAGAAAAGCCGGUCUCAGUUCGGAUUGCAGGCUGCAACUCGCCUGCAUGAAGUCGGAAUUGCUAGUAAUCGCGGAUCAGCAUGCCGCGGUGAAUACGUUCCCGGGUCUUGUACACACCGCCCGUCACACCACGAGAGUUUACAACACCCGAAGUCGGUA